rnacentral:rRNA from 1 species
UGGCGAACGGGUGAGUAACACGUGGGUGAUCUGCCCUGCACUUCGGGAUAAGCUUGGGAAACUUGGUCUAAUACCGGAUAGGACCAUCGUUUAGUGUCGGUGGUGGAAAGUUUUUUCGGUGUGUGAUGAGCUCGCGGCCUAUCAGCUUGUUGGUGGGGUAAUGGCCUACCAAGGCGUCGACGGGUAGCCGGCCUGAGAGGGUGUACGGCCACAUUGGGACUGAGAUACGGCCCAG